ACGCUGGCGGCGUGCCUAAUACAUGCAAGUCGAACGCACGAAGUUGAAGAGCUUGCUCUUUAACCAAGUGAGUGGCGGACGGGUGAGUAACACGUGGGUAACCUGCCCAUUAGAGGGGGAUAACAUUCGGAAACGGAUGCUAAUACCGCAUAGUUUCAGGAAUCGCAUGAUUCUUGAAGGAAAGGUGGCUUCGGCUACCACUAAUGGAUGGACCCGCGGCGUAUUAGCUAGUUGGUGAGGUAAUGGCUCACCAAGGCAAUGAUACGUAGCCGACCUGAGAGGGUGAUCGGCCACACUGGGACUGAGACACGGCCCAGACUCCUACGGGAGGCAGCAGUAGGGAAUCUUCCGCAAUGGACGAAAGUCUGACGGAGCAACGCCGCGUGAGUGAAGAAGGUUUUCGGAUCGUGAAACUCUGUUGUUAAAGAAGAACAAGGAUGAGAGUAACUGCUCAUCCCCUGACGGUAUUUAACCAGAAAGCCACGGCUAACUACGUGCCAGCAGCCGCGGUAAUACGUAGGUGGCAAGCGUUGUCCGGAUUUAUUGGGCGUAAAGCGAGCGCAGGCGGUUCUUUAAGUCUGAUGUGAAAGCCCCCGGCUCAACCGGGGAGGGUCAUUGGAAACUGGAGAACUUGAGUGCAGAAGAGGAGAGUGGAAUUCCACGUGUAGCGGUGAAAUGCGUAGAUAUGUGGAGGAACACCAGUGGCGAAGGCGACUCUCUGGUCUGUAACUGACGCUGAGGCUCGAAAGCGUGGGGAGCAAAC
rnacentral:rRNA from 1 species